rnacentral:misc_RNA from 1 species
AACCUAGCACACCUGCGGUGUGUACCUGCGGAAGGAUCAUUACCGAGUUUACAACUCCCAAACCCCUGUGAACAUACCAAUUGUUGCCUCGGCGGAUCAGCCCGCUCCCGGUAAAACGGGACGGCCCGCCAGAGGACCCCUAAACUCUGUUUCUAUAUGUAACUUCUGAGUAAAACCAUAAAUAAAUCAAAACUUUUAACAAUGGAUCU